rnacentral:lncRNA from 1 species
UUUUUUUUUUUUGCCCAUUUUCCUAUUGCUCUGGAAUGUUUUGGUAGAUUGAUUCUCUGGAGUUAUAAAAAACAUUGUUUUGGAAACUAAUUGUCUCUUGCUCGUAUGGAUUGCUAAUACUUUCUCCCAGCCAGUGGCUUUAAGAAAUCUCUUCAUCUUUUGUCACACAGAAAUAAUUGUAGUAAGAUUUAUCAUUUUAAAAAUCAUUUAUGCUUUUUGUGUUUUGUUUAGUUUCUACUCUAAGAUCAUAAAGUUAUUUUCCUCUAUUUUCUUGUAAAGUUUUAUAGUGUGCUCUUCACAUUUAGGACUUUAACCAACCUGGAACUUAUUUUGUGAGUGGUGUGAGCAGGGAUCCAAUUUUAUGUUUUCCAAUAGGGGAAUUCAAUUGUUCAACAUCAUCUGUUAACAAGACCAUUUUACCCUUUGUCGUGUUUCACACUCUCCUAUAUAUUUUGAUCUGCCCCUAGGCAUUAUUCUCUGUUCUACUAUCUGUUGAUCUGUUCCUGGGACCAAAUCCAUUUUAAUUGUUAGAGCUCCAUAGUGCCUAUUGAUACCUGAUAGGGGGAGGUUCCCUUCCUCUUCCUCUUUCUUUUUCAAAAUUGUCUUGGCUGUUCUGUGUUCUUUACUAUUCCAUGUACAUUUGGGGAUGACUCUGUCAAGUUGCCAAGAAAACCCCAUUGCAAUUUUUAUUGGAAAUAAAAAUGCAUGGAUUAAAUUGGAAGGGCAUAGCCAGCGUUGUGGUGGUGAGGCGGCUCCCCAUCCAUGAACAUGGUUUGUUUCUUCCUCUCCUCUGCGUUCCAUGCCUUGCACAAAGGACUGCCUUGGAAAUCAACCUCCAAACCCUUCUCAUUCUUCAGUGCUCAACUGAAAUGCUUCCUCCUCCAGUAAGUCCUCCAAUGACAGACCUGCCUGUCAAGGCUCUAACACUCUGGCACCCUUCUGGUGCUCUAUUUUUUGGACACUUAGCACAUUGGAUCUGAUUGAGGGAACCUCUUUUGUGCAGUCUGCACCUCCACCUAGUCUCUGAGCUUCUGAGAAGAAGGGCUGCGUCUCACAGUCUUAUACCCCCAGUAGCACCCAGCACAGAGCAGGUGUUGAUUAGGAUCUGAUGAUUGGAUCCUAUCGCCCAAUAGGAUGUUAGGAUCUCUUCCCCUUAAGGGAAGGUAAGUCUGUAGUAACAGAUUCUUCCUCACAGGAAACAACUGGUUUUGUGAGGAAAGGACCUGGUGCUUAGUUUGGAGUCUCAAGGAAGUAUAGCUGGCUUGAAAUCGACAGAUUUAGCUCUAUGUGGUGGCUCUGCCAUGUGGGACAUUGGCCUCUCCAAGUAAGCUUUUGGCCAUGUGUGAGUGGGGGACGAUAUUCUCAAUCUCAUAGUGCUAUUGUGAUUCCGAGCGAGACAAUGUAGGAAAUGCAGUGUAGGUGUUUUCUGCCUGUUCCCACUUCCCCAGUUUGAGGGAGGUUCAGGAGAGAAGCCCUUCGCUCAGCUGGAGAUCAUCCACUCCCUCACCUCUAAGACCCUGGAGCACCUUCCCCAAAUGUCUGAGCCACUGGCACAAAUGGAUGCUCUUGGCCUCUGCUCUGCCUCUAUCUCUGUCUUCUGACCAGAACCCCUGCUGCUGCUCCCUUUCCCCAUGAGCAGAGGGAGUCCUCAGCUCCCUGAUGUAACUAUGGAAGAUGCUUGUACUCUGCCUCCCUUAUUCUGCCUCCCAGCACCCAGGUCUCCCAGUGGUCCCCCUUGGUCCUGAGGAAGUUGUUUCCAAGAAAUGUCCUUUCCCUCCUCUUCCAUGGGGGCAUCUUUCUCCCCCAAGAGAACUCAAGGGCAAUGCCCAGCUGGAAGUGACUGGACUCUAGGGUUAAGCACCAUGUGCACCUCUUGGAAGAGAGAAUUUGGGGCUGUGGGGUGCUUCCUAGCUGAGCCUGGGAUUUGGGGUGUCACAAAUCUAGGUUCUGAUUCAUCCCCCGGUCUGUCCUUUGGCUUUAGGCAGGUUGGCUGAACCAGGACUUAGCUUCCCCGUAUAUACAAUGCAUGCACUAAUCCUACCUCCCCCGACGGAUGAGAAAACCAGAGGGGAGAAAAAUGAAUGGGAUGCAAAAAGUAGGUGCUCAGUAUGAGGUUGGCCCUUCCCCAACAGGAGAUGUCAAGCUUGUAGAGAUGGGGGAAAAAUGGGGGACACAGGCAAAGAUGAGGCAG